CCUACGGGAGGCAGCAGUAGGGAAUUUUCGGCAAUGGGGGGAACCCUGACCGAGCAACGCCGCGUGAACGAAGAAGUUAUUCGUAAUGUAAAGUUCUUUUAACAGGGAAGAAAGAGAAAUUUGACGGUACCUGAAGAAUAAGCUCCGGCUAACUACGUCCAAGCAGCCGCGGUAAUACGUAGGGAGCGAGCGUUAUCCGGAAUUAUUGGGCGAAAAGGGUGCGUAGAUGGCAUAGUAAGUCUUUUGUAAAAAUGCUGGGCUCAACCCAGUAGGGCAAAAGAUACUGCAAAGCUAGAGUAUGACAGAGGCAAGUGGAACUACAUGUGUAGCGGUAAAAUGCGUAAAUAUAUGUAAGAACACCAGUGGCGAAGGCGGCUUGCUGGGUCGAUACUGACAUUGAGGCACGAAAGCGUGGGGAGCAAACAGGAUUAGAUACCCUAGUAGUC
rnacentral:rRNA from 1 species